ensembl:snoRNA
AUUCUUUUGUGAUUCAUAAGCAUGAUGGCUGGGUUUUCACAUCACUGUGUGAGACGGCCUCCCUUAAACCUUGUUACACUAUCCUAGUAUGACCCAUCUGACA